UGGGGAAUAUUGCACAAUGGGCGCAAGCCUGAUGCAGCGACGCCGCGUGAGCGAAGAAGUAUUUCGGUAUGUAAAGCUCUAUCAGCAGGGAAGAAAAUGACGGUACCUGACUAAGAAACUCCGGCUAAAUACGUGCCAGCAGCCGCGGUAAUACGUAUGGAGCAAGCGUUAUCCGGAUUUACUGGGUGUAAAGGGAGCGUAGGCGGUAAGGCAAGUCUGAUGUGAAAAUUUGGGGCUCAACCCCAAAACUGCAUUGGAAACUGUUUAACUGGAGUGUCGGAGGGGCAAGUGGAAUUCCUAGUGUAGCGGUGAAAUGCGUAGAUAUUAGGAGGAACACCAGUGGCGAAGGCGGCUUGCUGGACGAUAACUGACGCUGAGGCUCGAAAGCGUGGGGAGCAAACAGG
rnacentral:rRNA from 1 species